rnacentral:rRNA from 1 species
CUGGGAGAUAUAUUAGUCCACUACAUGGUGGGCUAGUUAUCUUGAAGGGAGAUAAUGUUUUAUUGUUAGAUAAUUAAUAGAGAUAUUAAAUAAUAGAGAUAUUAAAUAAUAAAAAUAUGGGUUAUUCUAAUCUUAAGCCAUUAUCACCUAGACACUAUAUAUUUAUAUAGUGCUUAAAGGAACACUCUAUAUAUUAUAUACUAGUGGAUGUUGAGAUAAUAACCAACUACGAUUGGAUAUAGUUCUAGAUAAAAAAAAGAAGAAAGUUGAUAAUGACAAAAUAUUUAUCUAUGUGUCUUGACCAAAUUACGUGCCAGCAGUCGCGGUAAUACGUAGAAGACUAGUGUUAUUCAUCUUUAAUAGGUUUAAAGGGUACCUAGACGGCACUAUAAACCUUCUAACAGGGGGUAUUGUUUUGCUAGAGUUUUAUAUGAGAAGGGGAGAAUUUGUAGAGUAGAGUUGAAAUGCUGUCAUACUAUGAGGACUGGUUAUGGCGAAAGCGACCUUUUAUCUAAAAACUGACGUUGAGGGACGAAGGCUUGGAUAGCGAACAGGAUUAGAUACCCUAGUAGUCCUUGCAGUAAAUGAUGAAUGUCAUAGACUAGAUGUUAAUUUGGUUUAUAAAUGAAAGUGUAAGCAUUCCACCUCAUGAGUAAUGUGGCAACGCAGGAACUGAAAUCAUUAGACCGUUUCUGAGAACAGUAGUGAAGUAUGUUAUUUAAUUCGAUGACCCACGAAAAACCUUACCACAACUUGAAUGUCAACGUGACUAAGGAGGAAAUAAUUAAAGCCCGUUUAAAGCGGAGCGCUUUGUGAGGGUUAACAACCAAAUAUUUAGAUUUAAACGGUUGUAAGCCCUCAAUUAGAAUGUAUCGGAGAAAACCUUUAAGGUUGUAAUCCUAUAUCUUCUUUGGAGAGAGAGAGCCUUAGAGAGUUACCAGGGAAAUGUUGAAAUACAUUUCUAUGUUUUUCAAUCUUGAAAUAUAAUUAAAUGUAUUUUAAGAUUGAAAAAGCAUUUAAGAUUGAAAUAUAUUUUACCAGGAAAUGUUGAAAUGCAUUUAAAUGUAGAAAUACAUUUAGCACGGUUGAUACAAGCGUUGCACGGUUGUCUUUAGCUAAUGUCGUGAGAUUUUGGUUAGAUCCAUAAAAUUAGCGUAAACCCCAGCUUUAGUUAAAAAUUUUAAUUAUAAUAAAUUUAUAAUUAUAGUGCUAGGGCAGUUCAUCACUAUAUUGAAUAUAUGAUAA